rnacentral:lncRNA from 1 species
UCUGAGCGGGAGGCAGAGCCAAAACCGUAACACCCAGAGCUAGAGACUCCGGCCUGGGGUCCUGGCUCUGUCCCGUAUCAGCUAGGAAACCUAGGGCAAGCUGCUUAAACUCUCAGAGGCUCAGCUUUUUCAUGAGCAAACAGGAAAACAGGGCUAAUGAUUAGUCCUUGGCUUAAAAUACAUCCCGCGUGUGAAAUUGCAGGUAUAUAAUAGAUUCACUAAAUGGGAGGGCGAGUUAUCAACACUUACUCUCCAAUGCGUCAUCACCCCCAAUACUCCUGUGUAUUUCCUGCAAAUAAGGAUCUUCUCCUACAUGGUCAGUCCGAACAACCUUCAGUCACAACUGAGAAGGUCAGGUGGUGCAUCACUGCCGCUCAGUCUCCCCAUGCCCAGUGAUUUCUUCACAAUUAGGGAUCUGAGACCCACAGUAUGGCAGUGACAAGAUCCAAGUCUUGGGACACCUAGCCAGGAGGGAAGAAUUUGAGGGAGAGGUGGAAAAUAUGCGAGGCUGAACUGACCUUCAAGGACAAGAAGGCUGUGUUCAAAUAGAUGGAGUUUGUCUUCUGGGAGAGGAGUGGGCUUAUCCAGGAUGAUCCCAAAGGCAGAUUGAGGACCAGUGGGAGGACAUCCUGAGAAAGCAGAUGCCAGCUUUAGGCAAGGAAGGACUUCGUAACAGGCAGAGAGCCCAUGUUGGAAACAAGCAGCUCUGCAAGGUGUGGGCUCACUGUCUGACUCCCUGGGGGGCUGCUGCCUUGGAAGAGGCUCCUGCUUAGAGAGGUUCUCCUGCCGCCAGCUGUCUCUCCUGAAUCCUGAGCACCACAUCUCUGAACCCUCUGGAGCCUCCCCUCCCUUGGCUUACUGCUCCCACCACCCUCUCUCUCCACCUUGCAAGAGACACUCUCCCUCAUCCUGGGUCAUCACCCUCUUUAGAGGCGCUGCCUGGCCACGAGUUUGGAUAUGGGGGGUGGGCAGGAUCUUGGCCUUACUUGAUGCAGUGCACACCUCCAACAGGCAUCACAUGGAGUGCAGCCGGGAGCAAGAUUCUCAUAGCAAUUACAAAGAUUCACAAGAAAAUGUGCCCUCCACUACACAGCUGUAAUUUACAUGCUUUCAAACCUGAUAUGGAAUGACUGUGGUUUCCCCUGAAAGAAGUAUCACUGAUCUCUGCACAGGAGAAACAAGGAUCUUGCUCUGUCACCUAGGCUGGAGUGCAAUGGCACACUCACGGCUCACUGCAGCGUCAAACUCCCAGGCUCAAGUGUUCCUCCUACCUCAGCCUCCUGAGUAGCUGGGACCACAGCACAGGCCCAGACACAAAGCAGAUGUGCAGUGGAGUGUGAAAGAGGCAGCCAACUCACUGGGGAGCUUCAGAGGGAGAUGGCCCAAAUUGCUGGGGCCUAAGAAUCUCCCGGAAUGAAGGAACAGUAGAAAGAACUGGAAGCCAAAUAUGGUGAUAGAGACAAUCAUCAAGGACACUGAGUAAACCAGAAACCUGCUUGGGCUCACGUUCCUUGUCUCUUCUUCUCAGAUCCAGGAAAGUAGCUGUCCAGGACAAUGAGGAUAGGCUGAGGAAAGACAGGCCACGGCCUUGCCUCUGUGCCAGCUCUCAUGGGCCAGGCAGAGUAUCCCAGGACAACUGCCUCCACAACCAGCUCCAUCCUUCAUCAACAAUUCAGUACCUGAUUAACAAAUCUGUACCCCAGGAGGUUAUGCCAAGCCCAACUUCUUCCAGAGACCACAACAAUAAAUCCAAGCCACUGCUAAUGUCAUUUAUAAGCUGUGGGAUUAAAACAGAGAAGCAAUCAAUUAAUUAAAAUUAGCUCUUUAUUGAAA